GCGUGUAUGAAGGAAGGCUUCGGGUUGUAAAGUAACUUUUGUUAGGGAAGAAAAGGGAAGUGCUAAUACCACUUUUUGCUGACGGUAACCUAAAGAAUAAGCACCGGCUAACUACGUGCCAGCAGCCGCGGUAAUACGUAGGGUGCGAGCGUUAAUCGGAAUUACUGGGCGUAAAGCGAGCGCAGACGGUUAUUUAAGCAGGAUGUGAAAUCCCCGGGCUCAACCUGGGAACUGCGUUCUGAACUGGAUAGCUAGAGUGUGUCAGAGGGGGGUAGAAUUCCACGUGUAGCAGUGAAAUGCGUAGAGAUGUGGAGGAAUACCGAUGGCGAAGGCAGCCCCCUGGGAUAACACUGACGUUCAUGCUCGAAAGCGUGGGUAGCAAACAGGAUUAGAUACCCUGGUAGUCCACGCCCUAAACGAUGUCGAUUAGCUGUUGGGCAACUUGAUUGCUUAGUAGCGUAGCUAACGCGUGAAAUCGACCGCCUGGGGAGUACGGUCGCAAGAUUAAAACUCAAAGGAAUUGACGGGGACCCGCACAAGCGGUGGAUGAUGUGGAUUAAUUCGAUGCAACGCGAAGAACCUUACCUGGUCUUGACAUGUACGGAACCUUCCAGAGACGGAAGGGUGCCUUCGGGAGCCGUAACACAGGUGCUGCAUG
rnacentral:rRNA from 1 species